rnacentral:rRNA from 1 species
UAGUAGUUUGACUCCGUGGCUACGAGGACGACGCUGGCGGCGUGCUUAACACAUGCAAGUCGAACGUGAUUUUUGUGGAAAUUCUUUCGGGAAUGGAAAUGAAAUGAAAGUGGCGAACGGGUGAGUAACACGUGAGCAACCUACCUUACACAGGGGGAUAGCCGUUGGAAACGACGAUUAAUACCGCAUGAGACCACAGAAUCGCAUGAUAUAGGGGUCAAAGAUUUAUCGGUGUAAGAAGGGCUCGCGUCUGAUUAGCUAGUUGGAAGGGUAAAGGCCUACCAAGGCGACGAUCAGUAGCCGGUCUGAGAGGAUGAACGGCCACAUUGGAACUGAGACACGGUCCAAACUCCUACGGGAGGCAGCAGUGGGGAAUAUUGCACAAUGGGGGGAACCCUGAUGCAGCGACGCCGCGUGAGCGAAGAAGGUUUUCGAAUCGUAAAGCUCUGUCCUAUGAGAAGAUAAUGACGGUAUCAUAGGAGGAAGCCCCGGCUAAAUACGUG